GACGAACCGUCCAAACGUUAUUCGGAAUCACUGGGCUUACAGAGUUCGUAGGCGGUCUGGAAAGUUGGGUGUGAAAUCCCUCGGCUCAACCGAGGAACUGCGCUUGAAACUACCAGACUCGAGGGAGAUAGAGGAAAGCGGAACUGAUGGUGGAGCGGUGAAAUGCGUUGAUAUCAUCAGGAACACCGGUGGCGAAGGCGGCUUUCUGGGUCUUACCUGACGCUGAGGAACGAAAGCUAGGGGAGCGGACGGG
rnacentral:rRNA from 1 species